rnacentral:rRNA from 1 species
GGGUGAAAUUGGAAAAACGGUAAAGAUACCGUAAAGGAAUUCUAAGACGAGAAGACCCCAUUGAGCUUUACUAUUAACUUGUAUUGCCAAAGCAAAUAAAAGGGAACUCUCCCUUGCUUUAUAAUAAAAUUGAGUAGACUAAGUGGGAAAAAAGGGAUGUUAGUCCCCUUUUUAUGGCCGAUUCAUUGGAUUGGGCCCCCAAAAGAUACCUUUUGGGGCCAUUGGCGUAGAGAGGGGGGAUCCGAUUUUCGGAUCGGCGCCGAAGGCGCCCAACCCUACUCGAUUUUUAUGAAAAACCACUCUUUUUAUUAGGAUUACUGGCUAAAACCGUACAAGUAAGGUAGUUUGGUUGGGGCGACCGCCUUCGAAAAAGUAUCGAAGGCGUACAUAAGAUUAAUCCGGGGGGGGUGUCCUUUUUUCACCCCCAAACAAACCGGGGGUAAUGCCCCAAAAAAGAUUAGUUUGACUGAGAGGGCUACAACCCGAACAGGCGCUUUUAGGUUGGGGCCCGGUUUUUACCAAGGGGCCUAAUUGACCAGCGGGCUCCUUUUUAGCCCGGGUCGAACCUAGCGGGUCAUAGU